rnacentral:rRNA from 1 species
AUAUCAAUAAGCGGAGGAAAAGAAACCAACAGGGAUUGCCUUAGUAGCGGCGAGUGAAGCGGCAAAAGCUCAAAUUUGAAAUCUGGCACUUUCAGUGUCCGAGUUGUAAUUUGAAGAAGGUAUCUUUGGGUCUGGCUCUUGUCUAUGUUUCUUGGAACAGAACGUCACAGAGGGUGAGAAUCCCGUGCGAUGAGAUGUCCCAGACCUAUGUAAAGUUCCUUCGAAGAGUCGAGUUGUUUGGGAAUGCAGCUCUAAGUGGGUGGUAAAUUCCAUCUAAAGCUAAAUAUUGGCGAGAGACCGAUAGCGAACAAGUACAGUGAUGGAAAGAUGAAAAGAACUUUGAAAAGAGAGUGAAAAAGUACGUGAAAUUGUUGAAAGGGAAGGGCUUGAGAUCAGACUUGGUAUUUUGUAUGUUACUCUCUCGGGGGUGGCCUCUACAGUUUACCGGGCCAGCAUCAGUUUGAGCGGUAGGAUAAGUGCAAAGAAAUGUGGCACUGCUUCGGUAGUGUGUUAUAGUCUUUGUCGAUACUGCCAGCUUAGACUGAGGACUGCGGCUUCGGCCUAGGAUGUUGGCAUAAUGAUCUUAAGUCGC